CUUGCGCUAAUGGGUAGUUCUAACCAAUGUGGGUAGUUCUAAAUUGAAAUGGGCAACUCUAAAAACCAAUUUGGUCAGUACCAAAAAUCGUGAAUUUUCUGUAUUAUUGGAAUAUGUAAUAUUGUUUAAUUUAAGUAGGUAUGUAUUUUAUUUAAUAUUUUUUACACAAAUGUUAUCAAUCCAUUCCAUAACAUUUAUUAUCAUAUACACAUAGAAGAUUGUGUAAUCUAUAUGAUAACACGAUGCAAUACAGAAAGUGAUAAUAAUGUGACCAUUAAAUUCGUCAUGUUUUAUGUUUAUUUUACUAAUUACUUAGACGAAGAAGUGACCAAGUGAAAGUGACGUGCGUAGCGAACAUGGAUUUAAAAAAGCAAAUGUCACCAUAUUAUUACUAUUACAAGGAUAUAAUUUGACAUGUGGACCGUCACCAAAGGCUUCAAUAUUAUUUAUCAUAUUUAAAUAAUAUUGAAGAAUAAAGUACUUCCUACAUUCAAAUAAAAAAUUAGCCCCAAAAAGCAGUUCUGGUCUUAUGAAAAAAUGGCUUUAUAAAAGUAAAAAUACUGAUCUUAACAUAGGUAUGUUAAAUUAAAAUGUUAAAUAAAUAAUAGAUUUUUACCUGAUAAUAGAUAAUUUAGUAGAUAACUUAAUUAACACCACAAGCGGCAAUAGCACUACAGUAAACAGCUUGGAUAACACCAUAAAUACUGAGAUUAGUGAGAUUCAACAAAAUAACACAACUUUAGUUAAUGACAGUAGUUG